UUGAACGCUGGCGGCAGGCCUAACACAUGCAAGUCGAGCGGAUGAAGGGAGCUUGCUCCUGGAUUCAGCGGCGGACGGGUGAGUAAUGCCUAGGAAUCUGCCUGGUUGUGGGGGAUAACGUCCGGAAACGGGCGCUAAUACCGCAUACGUCCUGAGGGAGAAAGUGGGGGAUCUUCGGACCUCACGCUAUCAGAUGAGCCUAGGUCGGAUUAGCUAGUUGGUGGGGUAAAGGCCUACCAAGGCGACGAUCCGUAACUGGUCUGAGAGGAUGAUCAGUCACACUGGAACUGAGACACGGUCCAGACUCCUACGGGAGGCAGCAGUGGGGAAUAUUGGACAAUGGGCGAAAGCCUGAUCCAGCCAUGCCGCGUGUGUGAAGAAGGUCUUCGGAUUGUAAAGCGCUUUAAGUUGGGAGGAAGGGCAGUAAGUUAAUACCUUGCUGUUUUGACGUUACCAACAGAAUAAGCACCGGCUAACUUCGUG
rnacentral:rRNA from 1 species